rnacentral:rRNA from 1 species
AUGGACGAUGGGGAGCCGGCCAGGGACUGGUCGCUGCUGCCCCUCGACGCCGUUGCCUCGAUCUUCAUCAGGCUCGGCGCCGUCGAGGUCCUCAUGGGCGCCGGCCUCGUGUGCCGCUCGUGGCUCGAGGCGGCCAAGUUGCCAGAUGUGUGGCGAGCCGUGGACAUGGAGAACCACGAGGUGGUGUUCCGGAAGAACAGACUUGUCCUGCGCGCAAUGGCGAAGGCAGCCGUCGACCGCUCCGACGGACAGCUUCGGGUGUUCGCCGGGAGGUUCUUUGUCACCGAUGAGCUCCUACACUAUAUCUUAGAAAGGUCGCCUUCACUCUCUACCCUGAGGCUUGUAUGGUGCAACGUCUUCAGGGCACCACUCGUCAAUGUGAUGAGAGAGUCGCCUCUGUUGGAGCUGCGUUCCCUUGAACUUGAAAUAUCUCGCAUCACCGUGGGAGUACUGAGCGACGUCCUUGAGAACUGCCCUCGCCUGGAGGUUCUUUGGGUGCGCGAUUGCUCCGGGAUCAAGGACCACCACGAGCAUGCCCUGCGAGCGCAAUUCCCACGGAUACAGACCAUCACCGUCGAACGUGAUGUUGCGUUCCUUUGGCCUGCCUGUUCUGAUUAA